rnacentral:lncRNA from 1 species
AACCACAUCUGGGGAGGAGAAGAAGGUUGUUGGGCAGGCUUGAUUCUAAGCAACUGACCAGUAGGAACCAGCCAAGGCGCCUGCCAAUCUCUCAUAGGAAUCAUCACAGCCCAUCUGGAAGAUCCAUCAGUUCUAACGGGGCUGGGCCUGCCUCCAGGAUGUGGGAGAUUGGCUCCAGAGCUGACACAGGGCUGCUUCCCCCCCCCCCGCCCCCCCAGGAUGGAGCUCUGGAGGGAAAUUCUGAAUUGUUUUCUUUUGGGGACAGUCAGGUGGGGGUGGGGAGAGGAAGAUUGGGCCAUUUAUCUUCUAUAGACAUUGCCGAGAUCCCAGCACUGGGGAGCCACAUCACCCAAAUCUCCAAUUAUGAACACCACAGUAUUGUUUUUCCUUUAGCAUCCAGAUGUUGGAAGCUAGAAGAUACCUUUGAAAUCAGUGCUGCCUUGCUUUUGUCAAGGUUUUAGUUAGCACUAACACGCUAUAAGAUUCUGGCUGUAUUUAUGUCUAAACGCCUUCUGAAAUAUCCUAUCAUCUGGAGGCAUGUCAUAUACAUUAGUACGCUUGGAUCCUCACUGUGAAUAACCUGACUAUCAAACUAUUAAUAAGCAUAAAGUGUGGCCACCCAGCACACCUGGGACCUCCUCCACUGCCUAUCCAGAUAGCUUCCCGAGAGAGUAGAGUAUAAGCAUCCUCUACUAUGCAUUUUUCCAACAAUCUUCUGAGCUCGCUUUAGGGUACCUGAAGUUCUACUGCAGGGGAUGAUGGUGGUGGUCGUCGUGUACUGGUUUUAACUAAUAAAAUGUGC